AGGAAAAUGAAGGAAAGGAGGAUAAAGAAGGGAAGGACAAGAACGACCAUAAAAAAGAGGACAAACUCCAGGAUAAAGAAGAGAAGGACAAGAAGAAGGGCAAAGAGGAGGAGAAAAAGAAAGAAAAAGAUAAAGGUUCCGACAACAAAACACAUGACAAGGAGAAGAAAGAAAAUGACAGAAGCCGCCGAACAGCUCAAAGAGCUUAGUCAAGUGCAAAAACAGAGAUUUUCAGGUUUUUAUACACCGCGGGGUGAUUUUGACCGCCUCCUUCCAUAUAGUACGAAGACAAGAUCAAUGGAAACUGUUAUUGUUACAAACACUACAGUGUUUAGAAUGGACACAACAGCAAAAAAUGAGGCGAACUGACGAUCACUGUGCAUACAUUGUGCAGACGAACACAUCAAAGGACUUCUUUUAAGACGUUCACAUCAAUGGCCAACGUAUCUUUAAAUGUAUUCAAUAAAACCUCUGAUUUUCGUCUUCAGCUA